AGGCAUCUAAGCGUGAAGCCCACCUCAAGAUAAGAUUUCCCAUAGAGUAAUCUAGUAAGAUCCCUUGAAGAACACAAGGUUGAUAGGUGAGGGGUGUAAGUGUGGUAACAUAUUUAGCUGACUCAUACUAAUAGAUCGAGGGCUUGACCA
rnacentral:rRNA from 1 species